UACGUAGGUGGCAAGCGUUAUCCGGAUUUAUUGGGUGUAAAGGGCGUGUAGGCGGGAAUGCAAGUCAGAUGUGAAAACUAUGGGCUCAACCCAUAGCCUGCAUUUGAAACUAUCGUUCUUGAGUGUUGGAGAGGCAGGCGGAAUUCCGUGUGUAGCGGUGAAAUGCGUAGAUAUACGGAGGAACACCAGUGGCGAAGGCGGCUUACUGGACGGUAACUGACGUUGAGGCUCGAAGGCGUGGGGAGCAAACAGG
rnacentral:rRNA from 1 species